rnacentral:rRNA from 1 species
UACGUAGGGGGCAAGCGUUGUCCGGAAUUACUGGGCGUAAAGAGCUCGUAGGUGGUUUGUCGCGUUGUUCGUGAAAACCGGGGGCUUAACCCUCGGCGUGCGGGCGAUACGGGCAGACUUGAGUACUGCAGGGGAGACUGGAAUUCCUGGUGUAGCGGUGAAAUGCGCAGAUAUCAGGAAGAACACCCGUGGCGAAGGCGGCUCUCUGGGACGGUACUGACGCUGAGACGCGAAAGCGUGGGGAGCGAACAGG